AACGUAGGUACGGGUCAAAACUUCGAAGUACAGAGUACAGCGACGAUAUCACCCAGCGGACUGGUUAUCUGAAAAGAAGCGGAAACAUGGAAAGCCAAGGGAAUUUUGCAUUGGAUGGGCAAAUAAAGAGAGCUGGACUAGGGGGAAAGCCCAGGAACUGCUGCAGUAAAAAAAAUGGGUGGGGCAUUAGGUCCUUCAAUUACACUACUUGGUUAUUCUCUUAUGGUCAUACCAAACCUAGGCUAUAUAUAAAGUGUCCCAAAGAGAUUUUUGAAAUCACUGUAGGAUAGCAAGUAAGCUUGAUUAUUUACGCUCUUCAAAAUAAUCUUUACAAAUCAUUUUUACACAACAUUGGCAGUACAAUUUGGAUUUGGGGCCAGGAAGGCAAGAGACAGAAAAAUGUCAAAGGUUUUGAAAACACUAAAACAUGCAUUUAAGAGAAGGGAAAACGAUAGCAAGAGGCCUUUGGUGAGCAACAUGACCUCAUAGUUCAGCCAACCUGCUGAUGGACACUCUGAUAUUGAUCCUGCGCUCAGAUUUCACUCAGAAUUCACUCAGAUUUCUGCAGAUAAAGAAAAGAUGGCUCAUCCCAUUCUGAAAGAGUUUCUUGAAGGAGACAUUCAUUCCCAGGAUGCAGCUGAACUAGUGAAAUGGCUGAAGCUUAAUGGUAUUACCCCUGAGAACAGAGGACUUUGGCAGCUGCUCUCAGGACUGGUUGAGAGAGAACCCCAAUGCAAUGGAUAUGUCUGCUGAAAAAAACUUUACCAACCAGCCAGAGGGCACCAAAGAAUUCCACCUACUGAAGGGGAAAUACUUGAAUGAUGCUAUGAGUUUGAUUUGUAGCAAAGUCAAUGCCUUAGUUCCUGUUUUAGAGGAUUCAAGACUGUUGAAUUACCUGAUUGACAGCUAUAAUCGUCACCUCUUUGCCACUUUGGACUUGUUAAUGGAUAGAAGUUCAUCAAUGAUAGAGGCAUUCUUCCUUCUAAAUUGGGUGAAGCAGACAUACUUUAGUCAGGACUUAAAAGGGUGCCAUAUCAUCCAAGAUGGUGUUCUCAGAGUAUCAGACCCUCUGCUGCUAACUGACUGGUUUGAGAAAUCCAAGCAGAAAGUCCUUAUACUUGUUCAGGAACACAUCUCAACUACACUACAGAACAUCCUGCAAUAUGAGGCUCAGAGUGUUUUGUUUGAAUGCCACAAUUCAAGGACGCAAAAGAAUCAGCCAUGCACUAACGAAUGCAGUUCAAAGAGUUUGUUGUGAUGAACUACAGAGUUUUGUAAAGAGGACAGUUUGUUAAACUAAAUAGCAUAUCCUAGCAAUUAGCUAUGCAGACCCAAUCCUUGGUACAUCAGCAUAGCAAGAUAAUCUCACAGUAUGGUGUGAAACGUAUUAUCUCUUUUCCUAUAUCUGUAUCAGGUAUGUGAAUGCUGAGAAUGAAUGGCUCAAGUUACAGAAACUGAGAAAAAUUGACUACAUUUCUUUAGGACAAUUUACACCUGCCAGCAACUCCGAUCCUAUGCUUUGACCAUUGUGGAUUUUAACAAUAACACUGAUUCAUUCACUAUCCUGAUGUUAGAAAACAUGGAAUCACAGGUUUUAUCCAGUAUAUCACAAUCAUUAAAAACCUUAGCAGAGAAUGGCAGUGAUGAUGAGCCAAAAAUGCUUCUGCUGGAGAUGACUGAAAUUCUAGGUUGCAGUGAUUUGAAUGCUCUCAAGCUUAUCUGCUUAAAUCUGUACAAAAACGUCCCUACAGAGAGUGAGGAACACCUGCCGGCGACAGAUUAAAGAAAUACUGAUUGUGAGCAAGGAGGUUUGUCAAAAUGGAGGGCACACCAGACCUCUCCCCCUUUUGUGCUGGAGCUGCUUUCUCUGAUGUAUACAUACAUACAUAAAAAGCCUUGAGAGUGUCAGCCAGUCAACCAGUGUAAACCAGUCUGAUGUUCAAUCCUCUGAUCCAUUUUGGACCAACUACUUCUAUGUGUGCAUGUUUACCUUUCCUACUGUUCUAUUUCCCAAAGAAGCUGGGAUAUAUGGAAGAAAUAAUUUAAUUGUACUGUACAUGUGUAUAUGUAUAUAUGAUAAAAGAAGGUAUUGUAUCUGGCCAAGGUAUUCCGAUUUAUUCUUCUCUCUGAAAAAAAAAAAUUGUAUGAGUGUUUGGUUAUAAACCAUAUUUGGUAUUUUAUUUUACAGAUGUUUUUACAUUAUGGUUGUAUUGUUGGUACUGUAGCAUCUGCGAUUUUAAAAGGCUGCACAAUAAAAAAUCAGUGUGUAGGC